CUCUAUGACUUUUUUACUAUUUCCGUAGUAUUUGUUAUCACUUAAUCUCCACAUUUUUUCUACAUCGGACUUCAAGUUACAGUACCACGUGCCGCCCUUAUUUUAAACGAACACACCAUCAGCUUUGCAUAGACUGUUAAAUAGCUUAUACAAUUUAGUAAAACUGUGUAACUUAGAUAUAUUGGAAAACAGUAUCAUAACAGUAAAGAUUUAACCUCAGCAAAUACUUGCCACUUCCAGUUUAAAGUGUAGGAUGAACUUGUAAGCAUGAUAAAGUUGAAACAAUAUUCUUGUUGCGUAGAACCUUUUUCCUAGAUCAACGCAAAAACAAAAUAACUUAAAAAAAAAGAAAAGAAAUUCGGAUGCAGAAAAACUAUAUGUGCAAAUACGGCGGGAGUUACACAAAUAAUUAAACAUAUACAUCAGCCAAAAGAUGUUUACUGGAACAUUAAUUGUUGAGACUUACGCAGAUUGACCUGUUCACAGAUGCGUGUUUUUUUUCAAAAUACUCAUACUUAUUAAAUUUCCCACCAAUUUCUUAAUCCUCAAAUUCUAUCGAGAUUUCUGGGUUAGAGUGUGAAACUUUUUCAAUAUCAAUACUAGGUUGUAACGACAUCUCUUUGAAUAAUGAUUGACAAGCUCUUGUACCAUUGCCCAAUGCAAGAACGUCUGCUUUUUGCGACGAGGAAAACGAACCGUUUGUGACUCGAGCAAGUCCGUAAAGAAUCUUCCAAUCCAUAGGCUUUACACGUGAUUGCAUGCUUUUGCUUCCCUGUUCUUGUCGAAAAGUAUCAACCGAAUCAAAAAGGCGUUCCAAUUUUAUCUGUAACCUUUCAACCAAGUAUCGGAGGCCAUCCGGAUUAGGCAGUUCCUCAGAAGAAGCCAUUCUACCCAACUUGUGUAAUUUUUUUGAUGCUAAACGCACAGCCAAAUAUGCAGCCUCUUGGCGAAACCUCGAAGCCGAGGUUCCAUCAAAAAAUGAUUCAUCGGGGAUGGAAUGAAUUGUAGGCCAUACUGCACGUAGACGUGGUGGAAUCCUUCGUUCAUAACCGUCCAAAUCGCUUUGCAAUUCAUUUCGACGAGUUAUACCAGCUUUAUAACUGCAAUAAAGUUGAAUACACAAAUUUUUCAUCUCAGAUCUUCUCAGUUCGGAAACAAUUUCUCGAUACUCUAUUAGCUGUGCGUAUAGAGCAUCUUGCUUUCGCAUUUCUUUUUCAUCCGAAGUAUCCUGAGAAGAGGAAAUAUCCUCUUGACUUCCUUGCUGCUCUAAUUCUUCCUCAGAAUCAUUCAUAGCAUCAUUUCCUCAGAAGGUUUAGCAUCCGGCUGUUGUGUUCGUAGGCUAGAGGUUAAGGAAAGGUCAUUGUACCUGGCGCGAUAUUAAGUGUGUUUACUGACUUUUUUUUUUAAUUUCCUUUAACUAUAAUCUAAUAGAAAAAAACUUUUCCUUUUUUUUAUUAAUAUAAGACUUUUGCUUCGUCUAACAACCGA